AGAGUUUGAUCCUGGCUCAGGAUGAACGCUGGCGGUCUGCUUAACACAUGCAAGUCGAACGGGCUCUUUCGGGAGCUAGUGGCGGACGGGUGAGUAACGCGUGAGAAUCUGCCAAAAGGACUGGGACAACCACUGGAAACGGUGGCUAAUACCGGAUGAGCCGCAACGUAAAAGAGGAAACUCGCCUUUUGAGGAGCUCGCGUCUGAUUAGCUAGUUGGUGAGGUAAGAGCUCACCAAGGCAUCGAUCAGUAGCUGGUCUGAGAGGAUGAUCAGCCACACUGGGACUGAGACACGGCCCAGACUCCUACGGGAGGCAGCAGUGGGGAAUUUUCCGCAAUGGGCGAAAGCCUGACGGAGCAAGACCGCGUGAGGGAGGAAGGCUCUUGGGUUGUAAACCUCUUUUGUCAGGGAAGAACACAAUGACGGUACCUGAAGAAUCAGCAUCGGCUAACUCCGUGCCAGCAGCCGCGGUAAUACGGGGGAUGCAAGCGUUAUCCGGAAUUAUUGGGCGUAAAGCGUCCGCAGGUGGCUUAUCAAGUCUGCUGUCAAAGAGUGGGGCUUAACCCCAUUAAGGCAGUGGAAACUGAGAAGCUAGAGUGCCGUAGGGGUAGAGGGAAUUCCCGGUGCAGCGGUGAAAUGCGUAGAGAUCGGGAAGAACAUCGGUGGCGAAAGCGCUCUACUGGACUGCAACUGACACUCAGGGACGAAAGCUAGGGGAGCGAAUGGGAUUAGAUACCCCAGUAGUCC
rnacentral:rRNA from 1 species